rnacentral:rRNA from 1 species
GGAAUUUUUGACAAUGGGGGCAACCCUGAUCAAGCAACGCCGCGUGGAGGACGAAGACCCUCGGGUCGUAAACUCCUGUCGGAGGGGACGAAAGCGGUCGUGGUUAAUCCCUGCAGCCGUUGCCGGUACCCUACGAGGAAGCCCCGGCUAACUCCGUGCCCGCAGCCGCGGUAAUACGGGGGGGGCAAGCGUUGUUCGGAAUUACUGGGCGUAAAGGGCGCGCAGGCGGCCUGGCAAGGCCUUCGUGAAAUCCCACAGCUCAACUGUGGAAUUGCGUGGGAUACUGCCAGGCUUGAGUCCGGGAGAGGAGAGUGGAAUUCCCAGUGUAGCGGUGAAAUGCGUAGAUAUUGGGAGGAACACCGGUGGCGAAGGCGGCUCUCUGGACCGGCACUGACGCUGAGGCGCGAAAGCUAGGGGAGCAAAC